rnacentral:rRNA from 1 species
GACGAACGCUGGCGGCGUGCUUAACACAUGCAAGUCGAACGGAAAGGCCCUGCUUUUGUGGGGUGCUCGAGUGGCGAACGGGUGAGUAACACGUGAGUAACCUGCCCUUGACUUUGGGAUAACUUCAGGAAACUGGGGCUAAUACCGGAUAGGAGCUCCUGCUGCAUGGUGGGGGUUGGAAAGUUUCGGCGGUUGGGGAUGGACUCGCGGCUUAUCAGCUUGUUGGUGGGGUAGUGGCUUACCAAGGCUUUGACGGGUAGCCGGCCUGAGAGGGUGACCGGCCACAUUGGGACUGAGAUACGGCCCAGACUCCUACGGGAGGCAGCAGUGGGGAAUAUUGCACAAUGGGCGGAAGCCUGAUGCAGCAACGCCGCGUGCGGGAUGACGGCCUUCGGGUUGUAAACCGCUUUCGCCUGUGACGAAGCGUGAGUGACGGUAAUGGGUAAAGAAGCACCGGCUAACUACGUGCCAGCAGCCGCGGUGAUACGUAGGGUGCGAGCGUUGUCCGGAUUUAUUGGGCGUAAAGGGCUCGUAGGUGGUUGAUCGCGUCGGAAGUGUAAUCUUGGGGCUUAACCCUGAGCGUGCUUUCGAUACGGGUUGACUUGAGGAAGGUAGGGGAGAAUGGAAUUCCUGGUGGAGCGGUGGAAUGCGCAGAUAUCAGGAGGAACACCAGUGGCGAAGGCGGUUCUCUGGGCCUUUCCUGACGCUGAGGAGCGAAAGCGUGGGGAGCGAACAGGCUUAGAUACCCUGGUAGUCCACGCUGUAAACGGUGGGUACUAGGUGUGGGUCCAUUCCACGGGUUCCGUGCCGUAGCUAACGCUUUAAGUACCCCGCCUGGGGAGUACGGCCGCAAGGCUAAAACUCAAAGGAAUUGACGGGGCCCCGCACAAGCGGCGGAGCAUGCGGAUUAAUUCGAUGCAACGCGUAGAACCUUACCUGGGUUUGACAUGGAUCGGGAGCGCUCAGAGAUGGGUGUGCCUCUUUUGGGGUCAGUUCACAGGUGGUGCAUGGCUGUCGUCAGCUCGUGUCGUGAGAUGUUGGGUUAAGUCCCGCAACGAGCGCAACCCUUGUUCACUGUUGCCAGCACGUUAUGGUGGGGACUCAGUGGAGACCGCCGGGGUCAACUCGGAGGAAGGUGGGGAUGACGUCAAGUCAUCAUGCCCCUUAUGUCCAGGGCUUCACGCAUGCUACAAUGGCUGGUACAGAGAGUGGCGAGCCUGUGAGGGUGAGCGAAUCUCGGAAAGCCGGUCUCAGUUCGGAUUGGGGUCUGCAACUCGACCUCAUGAAGUCGGAGUCGCUAGUAAUCGCAGAUCAGCAACGCUGCGGUGAAUACGUUCCCGGGGCUUGUACACACCGCCCGUCAAGUCAUGAAAGUUGGUAACACCCGAAGCCGGUGGCCUAACCGUUGUGGGGGAGCCGUCGAAGGUGGGACUGGUGAUUAGGACU